ensembl:lncRNA
AUUCUAAUAAUAUAUAUUCUAAUAAUAUAUAUUCUAAUAAUAUAUAUUCUAAUAAUAUAUAUUCUAAUAAUAUAUAUUCUAAUAAUAUAUAUUCUAUAUAUAUAUAUAUAUAUAUAUAUAUAUAUAUAUAUAUAUAUAUAUAUAUAUAAUCAACUGUUAUCAUUAAUCAUAUUUCUUUAGGAGCGUAUUAGAAUGAUUUCUGAAGGAUCAUGUGACUGAAGACUGGAGUAUGAUGCUGAAAAUUCAGCUUUGAUCACAGAAAUAAAUCACAUUUUAAAAUAUAAAAUGUUGCUUUUAAAUUGUAAUAAUAUGCAACAAUAUUACUAUUUUUACUGUAAUUUUGACUAAAUAAAUGCAGCCUUGGUGAGCGGAAGAGACUUCCCUCAAAAACAUAAAAAAUAACUUGACCAGUAGUGUAUAUAUUAUUAUUAAAAUGAUGAUUAUUAUUAUUAUUAUUAUUAUUAUUAUUAUUAUUAUUAUUAUUAUUAUUAUUAUUUUAAUAGAAGCUGGUACUCAAUUCUCAAUCCUAGGAAUUCUGCAACACUUGUUUUGCUGAGUGUGAAGUUUUCCCAACACUGUCACACACUUGGUUUGUUUGUUUAGUGGACUGGUAAGACGUCUGAGCUGUAGCAUGUGUUUGGAUUUGUUGUCUUGUCUUUUUGGAGUCUGACUCAUCGAGUCUCUCUGUAAAGGAAGCAGUAUCCUGAGCUGCACUGCUGCUCCUCUCGAAACAUUCCACUGUUUCCUGAAGAAACGUCAUCAGCCUAACAGACUACUGACGAUCACAAUCACUGUUUGCUUGUACGGUUACAGUCGUGCUGCUGUGUUUUAUUACUCCCAAACGGCCUUCCUUCCUUCCUACCUACCUAAAUGAUCUAACAACCUCUUGGAAGAUCUUCCCCCAAACCAAACUGUGCCCACCUGCCAUGCACUGCUCUGCAAGUCUGAACAUGUUCAAGUGGUCAGAGAGAUUCUUAUAUUUUGUAUUGUAUUUUUGCCAAAGACUGUUUGCACUGCAACGUAUGCCUUUCAACAAUAAAAUGGCCACAUGAAACAUCAGCUGCUUUAUUUCCAAAAUAUGUCAUCACAUUUAUUUAUAUAAUUGUAAUUUUAGACUGGAAAGAGUGUGAGUUCUCAAAAAUCAAAGAUAAUCAAACACAAGUUUGAGUCCUUUAGGAGUCAAAUAUGACCCUGUUUUCUGAUUCUGAAACUGUAAACACAUUAAACGUGAUGCUAAUGGCCUGCCAAGUCACACCGAAGUUAUGAGGAAGAGUAAGAAGUGUACUUGCAUUUUUCAACGCCAAAAAAUAAAGAAAUUAGAAAAAAUAAAUUUGAUUUAUUA